GACGAACGCUGGCGGCGUGCUUAACACAUGCAAGUCGAACGAAGUGGCGAACGGGUGAGUAACGCGUAAUCAACCUGCCCUUCAGAGGGGGACAACAGUUGGAAACGACUGCUAAUACCGCAUACUGAAGGAGGGGAUUGCGUCUGAUUAGCUAGUUGGCGGGGUAACGGCCCACCAAGGCGAUGAUCAGUAGCCGGGCGUAGGAGAUGGACGGGCAAAAUGGGACUGAGAAACGGGCCAGACUCCUACGGGGGGCAGCAGGGGGGAAUCUUCCGAAAUGGACGAAAGGCUGAAGGAGCAACGCCGCGUGAGUGAGGACGGCCUUCGGGUUGUAAAGCUCUGUUAAGCGGGACGCGGUACCGGAAUAGAAAGCAACGGCUAACUACGUGCCAGCAGCCGCGGUAAUUC
rnacentral:rRNA from 1 species